AAUACACUGAUUUGCAUAACAUGGAGCAGUUGGUGGAGGUCUGAUACAACAUAAAUGCAACCUUAAAGUCACGUCUAAUUCAGUCUGACAACAAUUUAUAGAGGAUUACAGCCUCGACCGAAGCAUGCGGACACAAGCUGUAGACUGUUGGGAAUGUGCACUUGUGACAAUUUGCCCCAUCGGCAGGCUGUAAAGAACGUGACCGUCAGGGAAGACUCUCAGCAUGAUGUUUUCGGUGGUGGUGUCAUGAAUAAAAGAUCUUUUGGAGUGGACGAAGAAGACGUCAGGAACCCAGAUCUUCUUCACCAAGCGGCCGUCGAAAGUCAUGCUUUUGUUCGUGGAGCUGGUGAAGGACAAGCGCUCAUCCUUCCAGUAGUGGCGCAGAUAUAAUGUCAUGGUGAAGUCCUGGACAGAUGGAGAAAAGAGAGAUUUUACAAAUAUUUCAUUAAAGCACUUGUUUUUUCAACACGCAGAAAGGAGCUUAGGAGCUUAAGAUUUGAUAUUCCAAAAAAUUUGCACGUUAUUCAAGAUGGAUUCAAUUAAUCAAAGUAUCAUUUAUUAUGGUAUGAUAACGUAACGUAAUGUGUCCUGAAAUUAUCAUCUGAAAAUAUUCUCAGAUGAUCAGAUAUGUUAAAAUGCUUAUAUUAUUAUUAUUAAUAAUAAUAAUAAUAAAUAUUUCUUGACCACCCAAUUAACUAAUCAGAAUGAUUUCCGAAGUUUUAUAUGAUGCUGUAAAAAUAUAAUAUAAUAUAAUAUAAUAUAAUAUAAUAUAAUAUAAUAUAAUAUAAUAUAAUAUAAUAUAAUACAAUAUAAUAUAAUAUAAAGUUUUUUAUGUGUAACAUAACGUUAUAAAGCAUUUCACUCACUUUUGAAA
ensembl:processed_transcript